AUGCUGGACUGUUGUGAAAGCGAUCCAACUACAACUCCCACGCCCUGCACAUGUCCCCCCUGCCCGAGCACCACCUGCCAGCCCAGCAUCUUCCUGCAGAGGCCAAACAUCAAAGACCUGCUCCUCAAAUCAGAAGCCAACAUCACCUGCACCCUGAAAGGCCUGAAGGACCCUGCAGGGGCCGUCUUCAUCUGGUCACCCGACACGGGGAACACGCCUGUGCUGCUUAGUGCCCAGGAGGACUCCUGCGGCUGCUACAGUGUGUCCAGCGUGCUGCCCGGCUGCGCAGAACUCUGGAACCAGGGGACACAGUUCACAUGCACUGUCAAACACCCUGAGAUAGAGGGCGGCUCACUGACUGACACCAUCAGCAAAAACACAGGGAACAUCAUCCCACCCCAGGUGCACCUGCUGCCGCCGCCGUCAGAAGAACUAGCCCUAAACGCACUGGUGACGCUGACCUGCCUGGUGCGCGGCUUCAGCCCCAAGGACGUGCUCAUCUACUGGCUGCACAUAGACAAGCUGGUCCCCAGGGAAGACUUCCUGGUGUUUAAGCCCCUGCCAGAACCCAACCAGACUUCCAGCACCUUCGCCGUGACCAGCCUGCUGCGCGUCUCGGCCAAGGAUUGGAACAACGGGGACAACUUCUCCUGCGUGGUGGGCCAUGAGGGCCUGCCCGACAACUUCACCGAGAAGACCAUCGACCGUCUGUCGGGUAAACCCACCCACGUCAACGUGUCUGUGGUCGUGGCAGACGUGGAAAGUGUCUGCUACUGAGCCACCUGCCCUGCCCUGAAUAAACUGUGUGCUGGCCCCAGCA